AACUUCAUGCCCAAUCAAACACCCUCAUAUAAAAUGGGACGGAGGGAGUAGCUGCUUACCCAUCAUAGCCUAGUGCAGACUUCAAUACGAAAUGAAGACGUGAGGCAAUAAAGGAGAGACUACAACCAAAAAAUUUGGUGGAUAACUGGAUACUGAGAGGUACCUUCUUCAAUUUAUAUGGUCUUACUUUCCUUUUAAUCUA